GAUCUACUCCAACUCAACUUCCUCGCAAAAACAUAUUUACGACAUCGUAAGAAAGAAUUAAAUGGUGGAACUAUAAACGAAAAUCUAGACCAUACCAAAAAAGGAAAGAUUAUAUUCUCUCUUUUACUUUUUCAAGAUUAUAUUUCCUAAUCUUAAAAGGAGAUUUUGCUUGUCAUGGUUGAGAAACAUAUUGUAAACAGAGUGCUUAAAAU
rnacentral:lncRNA from 1 species